GGACUUGAGGCCAGUUGGCUGUGACAUCUGUCACCCCAUUGAUCACCAGGCUUGGAUUCAGCUUAUCUGGCUGGCUGGGCAGGUGUCCCUUUCCUCCCUCACUGAUUCAUGUGUGUCCCUUGUCCUUCCCAAAGCUUCGAGCCUAGUUUGAUAGAAGGGGACCAGCCUGAUAGAGGAGGGUCACUUCUAGUCAAGGGUGCAAGAGUAAUUGUUCUCUCCUGCUAAAACCUCUAAACAAGCUCUUAAAUUCCCCUAGCCUUUCUUUGGAGUGGAGAUGAAUAACCCUUUUGAGAGAAUCUUAGCUACUGCUGUGUUUGA
ensembl:misc_RNA 7SK 7SK RNA